AGAGGAACCGCGGAUUCAGAUAAUUGGUUUUUGCGGCUGUCCGACCGGGCAGUGCCGCGAAGCUACCAUCUGCUGGAUUAUGGCUGAACGCCUCUAAGUCAGAAUCCAUGCCAGAAAGGGACGAUUUCCCCCUACACAUCGUAGUCGGAUACGAAUAGGCCUUUGGCCCUGAACCUUAGCAGGUUGGCGACCGGCUCCAGGUAGAAGUCCUGGGGUCGAGCUGACGAAUUGCAAUUUCACAAUGCGUAGGGAUAAAUCCUUUGCAGACGACUUAGUUGUGCAACCGGGUCGUGUAAGCAGUCGAGUAGC
rnacentral:rRNA from 13 species